rnacentral:lncRNA from 1 species
AUCGAUCUCUAGCCAUGAGGGGUCGUCGCCGUAACGUUUUCGGAGGUGACAUCACUUCGACAACCUGCACGAUCUUGGAUUUCUUGGAAAGGAACGGUAACCCGCGGCUUCCUACCGAUAGGGCCCGUUUGCUUCCUCGGAACCCGCGGCCUUCCACCGAUGGGGUCCGUAUGCUUCCUCGGCCCGUCAUUCUGGCGGCGGCGGAGGCUUCGCGCCUUCGCGCUUUGGAGCGGAAUGGGGAAUCUUCUCAGAAGAAGGAUAAUUAGCUUGUUUUUUUUGUAAUUUUUUGUUCUAAGGGCGACUUAAUGUUUUGUCGGCCAUGUAAUCUGUCGCCCGUACCGAAUGAACGUAAUCGGCCCGAAUGAAUGUAAUCGGCCGUUCCGGUCGACUUUAUGUGUGUCUUAAAACCGAAUCGUAUCGGUCAUGUAUGAUCGUGUUAAUUCCUUUAGGCGCCGACCCAUAUACUUGGGUAAUACCUUUUUAAGUAUCUCCCAUUCAGAGCUCUAGUGAAUUC